rnacentral:rRNA from 1 species
AAGAUUAAGCCAUGCAUGUCUAAGCAUAAGCCGAAUAUGGUAAAGCCGCGAAUGGCUCAUUACAACAGCCUUAGUUUAUUGGAUCUAAAAUCCUACUUGGAUAACUGUGGUAAUUCUAGAGCUAAUACACGCAAAAAAGCCCUGACCUUACGGGAAGGGCGCAUUUAUUAGAACAAGACCAAUUGGCUUCGGCCAUCUAUUGGUGAAUCUGAAUAACUACGCAGAUCGCACGGUCUCGCACCGGCGACAUAUCCUUCAAGUGUCUGCCUUAUCAACUGUCGAUGGUAGUUUACAUGACUACCAUGGUUGUAACGGGUAACGGAGAAUAAGGGUUCGACUCCGGAGAGGGAGCCUGAGAAACGGCUACCACAUCCAAGGAAGGCAGCAGGCGCGCAAAUUACCCACUCUCAGCUCGAGGAGGUAGUGACGAAAAAUAACGAGACAGUUCUCUUUGAGGUCUGUCAUCGGAAUGGGUACAAUCUAAACCCUU